GACGAACGCUGGCGGCGUGCUUAACACAUGCAAGUCGAACGGAAAGGCCCUGCUUUUGUGGGGUGCUCGAGUGGCGAACGGGUGAGUAACACGUGAGUAACCUGCCCUUGACUUUGGGAUAACUUCAGGAAACUGGGGCUAAUAUCGGAUAGGAGCUCCUGCUGCAUGGUGGGGGUUGGAAAGUUUCGGCGGGUGGGGAUGGACUCGCGGCUUAUCAGCUUGUUGGUGGGGGAGUUGCUUACCAAGGCUUUGACGGGUCGCCGGCCUGAGAGGGUGACCGGCCACCUUGGGACUGAGAUACGGCCCAGACUCCUACGGGGGGCAGCAGUGGGGAAUAUUGCACAAUGGUCGGAAGCCUGAUGCAGCAACGCCGCGUGCGGGAUGACGGCCUUCGGGUUGUGAACCGCUUUCGCCUGUGACGAAGCGUGAGUGACGGUAAUGGGUAAAGAAGCACCGGCUAACUACGUG
rnacentral:rRNA from 1 species